rnacentral:rRNA from 1 species
GGACUACCGGGGUUUCUAAUCCCGUUCGCUCCCCUGGCUUUCGCACCUGAGCGUCAGAAACUUCCCAGGACACUGCCUACGCCUUUGGUGUUCCUCCGGAUAUCUACGCAUUUCACCACUCCACCCGGAAUUCCGUGUCCCUCUGAAGCCCUCAAGUCCGUUAGUUUCCCGAACACUUCACCAGUUAAGCCGGUGACUGUCACCCGAGACUUAGCGGACCGCCUGCGUGCGCUUUACGCCCAGUAACUCCGGACAACGCUCGCCUCCUACGUAUUACCGCGGCUGCUGGCAC